GACGAACCGUCCAAACGUUGUUCGGAAUCACUGGGCUUAAAGGGCGCGUAGGCGGCCUGCCAAGUCCGGGGUGAAAUCUUUCGGCUUAACCGGAAAAGGGCCUUGGAAACUGGCGGUCUCGAGGGAGGUAGGGGCCUGUGGAACUUCGGGUGGAGCGGUGAAAUGCGUUGAUAUCCGAAGGAACGCCGGUGGCGAAAGCGACGGGCUGGAUCUCUUCUGACGCUGAGGCGCGAAAGCCAGGGGAGCAAACGGG
rnacentral:rRNA from 1 species